GACGAACGCUGGCGGCGUGCUUAACACAUGCAAGUCGAACGGAAAGGCCCUGCUUUUGUGGGGUGCUCGAGUGGCGAACGGGUGAGUAACACGUGAGUAACCUGCCCUUGACUUUGGGAUAACUUCAGGAAACUGGGGCUAAUACCGGAUAGGAGCUCCUGCUGCAUGGUGGGGGUUGGAAAGUUUCGGCGGUUGGGGAUGGACUCGCGGCUUAUCAGCUUGUUGGUGGGGUAGUGGCUUACCAAGGCUUUGACGGGUAGCCGGCCUGAGAGGGUGACCGGCCACAAUGGGACUGAGAUACGGCCCAGACUCCUACGGGAGGCAGCAGUGGGGAAUAUUGCACAAUGGGCGGAAGCCUGAUGCAGCAACGCCGCGUGCGGGAUGACGGCCUUCGGGUUGUAAACCGCUUUCGCCUGUGACGAAGCGGGAGUGACGGUAAUGGGUAAAGAAGCACCGGCUAACUACGUG
rnacentral:rRNA from 1 species